rnacentral:rRNA from 1 species
UACGGAGGGUGCGAGCGUUGUCCGGAAUCAUUGGGCGUAAAGGGCGCGUAGGUGGCCCGGUCAGUCUUUGGUGAAAGCGCGGGGCUCAACCCUGCGUCGGCCAGGGAUACUGCCGCGGCUCGAGCACUGUAGAGGCAGGCGGAAUUCCCGGUGUAGUGGUGAAAUGCGUAGAUAUCGGGAGGAACACCAGUGGCGAAGGCGACUUCCUGGCCUGUUCUUGACGCUGAGGCGCGAAAGCUAGGGGAGCAAACGGGG